ensembl:lncRNA
AUUUCUUUAUUAUUAUAAUUUUUUGGGCAAUUUGAGAACCGGGGCUAUUCAUAAAAGACCCGGGGCUAUAGCCCUGGACGCCCAGGACUAACGACGCCACUGCUGUAUCGCAUUGUAUCGCAUUGUAGCCGAUUGCCAUUAUUAUUGUAUUGAUGUAUAGCCUACUGAGCUCACUUGCUCCGUAGCCCGUUCCCAGAUUGCAAAAAAUAUCCGCACGGCUUCUUUUUGCCGCCGGCCCUAAGCUGUCAGCUAUUGGAGCGUCCUGCUGGCGGGGAUGAAACGUUUGCCGCCGAAUACGUCACUCCCAUUUCUUGCGAGAUGCCGGCGGUCUGACUGCCUCAUUUUCUCUGGCGGUUGCCUCGAUCUAAUGGACCGCGGUGGUGCGGUAUUUAAAAGACGCUUUUAAAUACAAGGCUACUCUCAAAAUCGACCGGCCAUGUUGGUUUGGACACACAUUCGCAUCAGUUCGUCGCUCAAUCGCGAGUUACAGCCUGCAGCCUGCUAGCUAGCAAAGACAUCGACUACCAUUGUUUAAAUACCUUGGCCAGAGCAUAACCGGUUAUCUUCACCCAAGAGACCUACUGUUGGUCAAUCGUUUUGGCUUUAAAGGUAAAUGCAUUGUUAGUCACAAUGUCUAGUUACUGGGCCAAAAGGAAAAUAAUAUUGAAAAGAGUUGAGGGACAAACAGGACAUUCACUUGAAUCACUACAUGCUACAGAAGUUGCAUCGAUUCCAGAAAACCAGGAAAAUGUUGAGCCAUCUGUAGACUUCAGAGCUGAACCAGGUUUCUCCCCAGUAAUCCAGACUCCACUUCACAGAGCCAAGAGUUUGAGAACAACUCGUCAAGUACUAAGCUUUACACCACCAGCAGCAAAUUUAACCUGGCAGCAUAUGGGUGAAAACACUGGAGGAGAAAGUCAUCGCUUUGUUAUUGGCCCUUGGACGCCCCUGGCAUCUCGUGUACAGCAUAAGAUUUUCAGCUAUUAAGAUUUCCAGAGUCUCUUCUUGGAGUCUCUGGGAGGGGUGCUGGAAAGUGCUCCGACUGGGGACUCUAUUGUUCUACUGGGGGACUUCAACGCCCACGUGGGCAACGACAGUGACACCUGGAGGGGCGUGAUUGGGAGGAACGGCCCCCCUGAUCUGAACCAGAGUGGUGUUCAGUUAUUGGACUUCUGUGCUAGUCACAGUUUGUCCAUAACGAACACCAUGUUCAAGCAUAAGGGUGUCCAUCAGUGCACGUGGCACCAGGACACCCUAGGCCGCAGGUCGAUGAUCGACUUUGUUGUCGUCUCAUCUGACCUGCGGCCGUAUGUCUUGGACACUCGGGUGAAGAGAGGGGCGGAGCUGUCAACUGAUCACCACCUGGUGGUGAGUUGGAUCCGAUGGCGGGGGAGGAAGCUGGACAGACUCGGCAGGCCCAAGCGUAUUGUAAGGGUCUGCUGGGAACGUCUGGCCGAGUCUCCUGUCAGAGAGAUCUUUAACUCCCACCUCCGGCAGAGCUUCGACUGGAUCCCGAGGGAGGUUGGAGAUAUUGAGUCCGAGUGGACCAUGUUCUCCACCGCCAUUGUCGAAGCGGCCGCUCGGAGCUGUGGCCGUAAGGUCUCCGGUGCCUGUCGAGGCGGCAAUCCCCGAACCCAGUGGUGGACACCGGAAGUAAGGGAUGCCGUCAAGCUGAAGAAGG